rnacentral:lncRNA from 1 species
UGAUGCUAUGGCUGCUGAGGUGACCUCUGCACCCUCUAGAGUUCUGUCUCUGCCUUUCUUCAUGAAGCUCAGCCUGGCCCUUUUCACAGAGACCUGGAGGCACUCUUAGAUCUGAGGUCCUCAGAUUGACUUUGAGAGAGUAGUUUGAGAUAGGAGGUCGAUAGGAAUGGGAAAUAUACUUAGUGCCCUGGGCCCUGGGAGGAUGGAUCUAGACACAAUGCUUUAGCACAGGGAUGAGGCAGAAGAGACUUAGAGCAGAGGGGUAAGGUGUUCCACUCACUGGUUCCUCUGUUGCUUUCUCUCACAAGCCCAGCUAGAUGGCAAGCCCAUCUAGCAAGCCAAGGCCAGAGACCAACCAAAGUGACCCUGUGUCGGGUGUUAAGGAUAGCCAUCAGUCACCCUUAAAACUCUCUGCAGUACCCAUUUCCUUUUACUUAAAAAAAAUCUUUUAAGCUACACCAGGUCUAGAUUUUGUAAUUACAGAAGAUGCCUUUGAGCCUAAAUAUUUGGCAGGGUUAAUUUAGCAGUGCAGAGGGAAUCUACCUGAGAGUGGGUUACUUGUUUGUGUUUGUUUGUUUGUUUCUUUGUUUGUUUUUGUUGGAGUGAGGCCAGAGGCUUAGAAACCAAUGUAGCCCCAGGUAAGCUGAUUUAGAAGAGAACCUCUAGCAUGAUGCUCAGGUCUCAAUGGGCUAGGCCCCAGUGCAGGGGUAAAGUGAGGGAGUAUUGAGCCAGGCAGAGGUGGGUCCCCAGAGAUAACCAGGACAGGCCAUCCAUCUUUUACACUGCCUCUGCAUGUUCAUAGAGAACCAUCACCUUUUCCCACAGUUUGGAACCCUUGGGUUUUUAAUGUUAUUUAGGGUUUUUGUAAAGAUGAUUGUAUUGCCUUAUUUAGUAUCUGUUUGUAUGUCUGUGCAUGUGCCCAAACAUGUACAGUGUGUAGCGCCAUACACAGUGGAGGUCAGAGAACCCCGUGCCUCUUUUAUUCUUAUUUUUCAACCUCUUAGCUUUUGAUAUCCCCAUUUCUAACUGUUUCAAAAGUCUUGGCUGAGUUCUUGAGGAAGCUUCCACACCCUGGAAGGAGACUUGUCAGGGAGCUAGCACGGCACAUAAUGUUCUAUAUGUCACCAUCUUGUCCACUGGAGCACUGCUUCUCAGCCUUCAUAAUGCUUUGACCCUUUAGUUCCUCGUGGUCUGGAGACCCCCAACAGUAAGAUUAUUUUCAUGGCUACUUCAUAGCUUCAAAUUUGCUACUUUUGUGAAUCAUAAUGUAAACAUCUGAUAUGCAGGAUAUCUGAUAUCCAAUGAUGCGAAGGGAUCAUUAACUUCCCCAAGCAGGUCAUGACCCACAGGUUGAGAACGGAUUCUCUGGGGUGACAGAACCAAUGAGAGUCUUCCCAGAGUGGUUGUAGGAGGAGUAAGACAUUAGUUGAGUGUUCUACCUCAGGCAGGACACCAGGUAGGCAGAGAGAAGCAGCAGCCCACUCCAUCCAUCCUGUUCUCCAUCUGGAUGGGUGCAGAAGAUGAGGCUCCUGCAUCACACCAGGCUAAAAGUAUCAUGAUCUUGGAAAAUGAACUUAGUGAGUCCUAAUUUUGAGAAGUGACAAAAGUGUCGUUUGUCACCAAUAGCUACACUAUAGAUCAUGUGAAACACUUAGAGGUCUCUGUUGCAAAGUCGGAAUAGUUCUAUUUUCAGAUAAACGCAAACCUGGCUGUUCUGUUACUUUGAUAAGAAUUCUAGAAAUAGAAUCACGGGUAAGAAAGGAAACAAAAGGAGAACGCACAAAAGCAGUUCUUCCAGCCCUUUGUCUAGAGUCCUGUACUUAGUUUUCUUGGGGAGGAAUUGAGGAAAGGGCGUGCCAUAAUGGAACGUGGACCAUGAUUGCGGAGGGAAAAAUGGAGCAGGGACCAUUGGGAGCCCCAAAGAAAAGAUGGCGCCCACGGUGAGGUGCGCAUGUGCAGGGUCUGCAGGUGAUUCAGGCUGUCAAGAGGGAGGCAAAGUCCUCGCUGUCCUGUGGAUGGAGCUUAGGGGAAGGGGCUUGAGAAAGGACCCUUGGAUAUGGGAAGAACAGUUUAACUGGUGACCUUCGAUGGUAGCGAGUGUUCUUUAAGAAUAAAUGUCUUGUCUAUAUUCGUCUCCUUUAAGCUUCUCCUCACCCGGUGGCAUGGUACCCAUUACCAUUCUCAGCCGCCAUGUGGCUAAAAUGACUCAAGAGGAAUUAAAGGGUUAAAUUCAGCCUGUGAGAAGCAGAGGAGCCAGGCUUGGUCACCUGGUCUGAUUCCAGAGUCAUCUUCUGGGGGCUUCAUUCUGCAGCUGGAGGCAGGACAGGACUAUAGGCCUCCCCAAGGGUGUGCUUGAGGAGGUGGAGGGAGCCGAGGCAGGCAUUUGUCUAGAUGUUUGACAAUCAAGGAAGGGAAACUGGUAAGAUCCCUCCCCCUCUUCCUGAAAGAACAAGCCUUCUCUUGGAACUUACUAACAAGGGGGAAAUGCAAGACGCUGAGAGAAAGGGGUGAAAUUUCUGUUCAGUGGCUCUGCCCUUGGGUGUUCUGGGUAUUUGACCUAUGGUAUAGUGGGUAAACCCUCCAGUUAGGGCUUUUUGUUUGUUUGUUUGUUUUGUUUUGUUUUCCUUAAGCUGAGCUGAGCAUCGAGGUGAUGCCCUUCAGAUAAAAUCAUCAAGGGAGUUUGCCAGAGGAUCGUGAGGACUAUACAGAGUUUGAUCUCAAUUCCCCAGUGUGACCAAUUGAUAAGAAUGCCCUGGAUGCCUUAGAAUGCCCAGCACUCCUGACUUUACUGCUUUACCCACAACGCUCCUCUGCUUACAGCCCCUAUCUCCACUUUCUUCCUCCAGCUAUUUCUUCCAUUUUGGAUUCCUCGGGAGUUGUCCGACUAUGUGGCUUUUGUCUGGCUUAUUGCUGUCUCUGAAACAAAUGUAGUCUUACCGGAAGGAAAUACCCUCAUCAAAGUUCUGAGUCUCAAUCAUACUUUAGAACUGGUUUUCUUUGGUUGGUUGGUCGGUACUCUCAGGAGAUGGAGGGUUCAAGUACACUUGAAUGAAGAACAGAUACAGAGUUCAAACAGGGAAAGAAUGUAUUCUCCUUUGUCCUCGUCAGUGUCAUUAUGUAGUAGCCUCUUGGGCUGGGCGGGAGUUUUAGGCACAGGAAGGAUGUUGAUGUGACGGUGUGGAGGUGGGAUUACCUGUCUGGUGAUAGGCCAGUGAGAGGAGACUUCAGCUAAGGUUGUGGCUCAUGUUACCAUCCAGCCACCAGUGCAGUGUUGCUCAAGUGGCCGUAGCACAUGAUGAAGUGUGCUCAAGUUCUCACUUCCAUUUUCCUUGGAGCUCCGGUCACUGGCUCAUCACCUAGGCAGAGUUCAUUUUAAAGAAGUGAUUGCAAAAGUUAGAAGCAUGCCUUCUCUGCAGGAAUCCAGGAGUGGGUUCUCCUGAGUACUGCCUCAGAGGGGGAGGAGGCUCAGGACCCAGGCAAGGGACGCACAGAACAGUGCUACGGCUCCGUCCAACCACAGAACAGUCUUCUGUGUAUCUGCAGCUGCAGGUAUUUCCCGAGGGCAAGCCAGAUGUGCUGAGAACAUUUCCUUGGAGGAAAAAUGAAAGAAACCGAAUAGCUAGCUUCUUUAAUGUCAGGCUGAUUUAAAGAGACAGGGGAUGCAUUUGGGACAUGACACGAAUGACUAACCCCAGGAUUCAACCAAUUAGACAGGGGGAGAAUUGAAGCUAAGAAAGGGGAGAGGAAGGAGGUGUUCUCAAUUCUUUUUUCUUUUCUUCUUCCUAGCAAGAACCAGUUGAGUCAUCUUUGGGGCUUAGUAAUGGAGUAAGUGGCUUUUCUCCUGAGUAUGCGGUCCUGACUUCAGCUAUAAAAAAUGAAGUGGAUAGUACGGUGAACAUCAUAGGUAAACUGUUUUGACAUCUUCUUUUUAUACUCACGAGCAGCCUCUGAGGUCUAAACUCUGU